AGUGAACGCUGGCGGUAGGCCUAACACAUGCAAGUCGAACGGCAGCACAGUAAGAGCUUGCUCUUACGGGUGGCGAGUGGCGGACGGGUGAGGAAUACAUCGGAAUCUACUUUUUCGUGAGGGAUAACGUAGGGAAACUUACGCUAAUACCGCAUACGACCUACGGGUGAAAGCAGGGGAUCUUCGGACCUUGCGCGAUUGAAUGAGCCGAUGUCGGAUUAGCUAGUUGGCGGGGUAAAGGCCCACCAAGGCGACGAUCCGUAGCUGGUCUGAGAGGAUGAUCAGCCACACUGGAACUGAGACACGGUCCAGACCCCUACGGGAGGCAGCAGUGGGGAAUAUUGGACAAUGGGCGCAAGCCUGAUCCAGCCAUACCGCGUGGGUGAAGAAGGCCUUCGGGUUGUAAAGCCCUUUUGUUGGGAAAGAAAAGCAGCAGGUUAAUACCCCGCUGUUCUGACGGUACCCAAAGAAUAAGCACCGGCUAACUUCGUG
rnacentral:rRNA from 1 species